AUUGAACGCUGGCGGCAGGCCUAACACAUGCAAGUCGAACGGUAACAGGAAACAGCUUGCUGUUUCGCUGACGAGUGGCGGACGGGUGAGUAAUGUCUGGGAAACUGCCUGAUGGAGGGGGAUAACUACUGGAAACGGUAGCUAAUACCGCAUAACGUCGCAAGACCAAAGAGGGGGACCUUCGGGCCUCUUGCCCUCGGAUGUGCCCAGAUGGGAUUAGCUAGUAGGUGGGGUAACGGCUCACCGAGGCGACGAUCCCUAGCUGGUCUGAGAGGAUGACCAGCCACACUGGAACUGAGACACGGUCCAGACUCCUACGGGAGGCAGCAGUGGGGAAUAUUGCACAAUGGGCGCAAGCCUGAUGCAGCUAUGCCGCGUGUAUGAAGAAGGCCUUCGGGUUGUAAAGUACUUUCAGCGGGGAGGAAGGGAGUAAAGUCAAUACCUUUGCUCAUUGACGUUACCCGCAGAAGAAGCACCGGCUAACUCCGUGCCAGCAGCCGCGGUAA
rnacentral:rRNA from 1 species